UACGUAGGCAGCGAGCGUUGUUCGGAGUUACUGGGCGUAAAGGGUGUGUAGGCGGUUGUUUAAGUUUGGUGUGAAAUCUCCCGGCUCAACUGGGAGGGUGCGCCGAAUACUGAAUGACUUCGAGUGCGGGAGAGGAGAGUGGAAUUCCUGGUGUAGCGGUGAAAUGCGUAGAUAUCAGGAGGAACACCGGUGGCGAAGGCGGCUUCCUGGACCGACACUGACGCUGAGGCGCGAAAGCUAGGGGGAGCAAACGGG
rnacentral:rRNA from 1 species